GACGAACGCUGGCGGCGUGCUUAACACAUGCAAGUCGAACGGAAAGGCCCUGCUUUUGUGGGGUGCUCGAGUGGCGAACGGGUGAGUAACACGUGAGUAACCUGUCCUUGACUUUGGGAUAACUUCAGGAAACUGGGGCUAAUACCGGAUAGGAGCUCCUGCUGCAUGGUGGGGGUUGGAAAGUUUCGGCGGUUGGUGAUGGACUCGCGGCUUAUCAGCUUGUUGGUGGGGUAGUGGCUUACCAAGGCUUUGACGGGUAGCCGGCCUGAGAGGGUGACCGGCCACAUUGGGACUGAGAUACGGCCCAGACUCCUACGGGAGGCAGCAGUGGGGAAUAUUGCACAAUGGGCGGAAGCCUGAUGCAACAACGCCGCGUGCGGGAUGACGGCCUUCGGGUUGUAAACCGCUUUCGCCUGUGACGAGGCGUGAGUGACGGUAAUGGGUAAAGAAGCACCGGCUAACUACGUGCCAGCAGCCGCGGUGAUACGUAGGGUGCGAGCGUUGUCCGGAUUUAUUGGGCGUAAAGGGCUCGUAGGUGGUUGAUCGCGUCGGAAGUGUAAUCUUGGGGCUUAACCCUGAGCGUGCUUUCGAUACGGGUUGACUUGAGGAAGGUAGGGGAGAAUGGAAUUCCUGGUGGAGCGGUGGAAUGCGCAGAUAUCAGGAGGAACACCAGUGGCGAAGGCGGUUCUCUGGGCCUUUCCUGACGCUGAGGAGCGAAAGCGUGGGGAGCGAACAGGCUUAGAUACCCUGGUAGUCCACGCUGUAAACGGUGGGUACUAGGUGUGGGGUCCAUUCCACGGGUUCCGUGCCGUAGCUAACGCUUUAAGUACCCCGCCUGGGGAGUACGGCCGCAAGGCUAAAACUCAAAGGAAUUGACGGGGCCCCGCACAAGCGGCGGAGCAUGCGGAUUAAUUCGAUGCAACGCGUAGAACCUUACCUGGGUUUGACAUGGAUCGGGAGCGCUCAGAGAUGGGUGUGCCUCUUUUGGGGUCGGUUCACAGGUGGUGCAUGGCUGUCGUCAGCUCGUGUCGUGAGAUGUUGGGUUAAGUCCCGCAACGAGCGCAACCCUUGUUCACUGUUGCCAGCACGUUAUGGUGGGGACUCAGUGGAGACCGCCGGGGUCAACUCGGAGGAAGGUGGGGAUGACGUCAAGUCAUCAUGCCCCUUAUGUCCAGGGCUUCACGCAUGCUACAAUGGCUGGUACAGAGAGUGGCGAGCCUGUGAGGGUGAGCGAAUCUCGGAAAGCCGGUCUCAGUUCGGAUUGGGGUCUGCAACUCGACCUCAUGAAGUCGGAGUCGCUAGUAAUCGCAGAUCAGCAACGCUGCGGUGAAUACGUUCCCGGG
rnacentral:rRNA from 1 species